GGGAAGAGAACUUUAUUUAGAAAGAAGAUGGCUUGAGGAUCAAGUUGCACACUACAGAGUCUACACAUGUGAUGAGCCAAUAUCAGAUUGAAAGCUAGAAAAUGCAUCUGCAAGCUCCAUGGCAUCUUGAACCCUUAAACGAGUUCCCUGUUGCCCGACCACUCUGGCUGCGAUUUUCGCUGCAAAUGUUCCCAUUUCUUUCAAAUCCGAGACUCCCUGAACAAUACCAUACAAAAUACCCGACGCAUAUGCAUCUCCAGCACCACAAGUGUCGAGAGGUACGCAUGGACAAGGCGGGAUAUACACUGCAUCUCCUUUAACACCUAUGUACGAACCUCUGUGCCCGUCUGUGACCGAGACGAGCGGAACAAAAUGACUUAGAUACCUUACAGCUGAUAUAGAGCUUUCCUUGGAGUCAAAAUGACAUAGAGCUGCUGCUUCUUCAUGGUUUGCAAAAACAAUAUCAGCAUAGUUUCCAACAAUUUCCCAAAAAUCGUCAAAAUGUCUUUCGACGCAGGAGACAUCUGAAGCUGUGACUGCAACUAGAGCACCGCUCCUGUGUGCUUCCUCACAUGCUUUUUGAAUCGUUU
rnacentral:misc_RNA from 1 species